UACGUAGGGUCCGAGCGUUGUCCGGAAUUAUUGGGCGUAAAGGGCUCGUAGGCGGUUUGUCGCGUCGGGAGUGAAAACACGGGGCUUAACCCCGUGCCUGCUUCCGAUACGGGCAGACUAGAGGUAUGCAGGGGAGAACGGAAUUCCUGGUGUAGCGGUGAAAUGCGCAGAUAUCAGGAGGAACACCGGUGGCGAAGGCGGUUCUCUGGGCAUUACCUGACGCUGAGGAGCGAAAGUGUGGGGAGCGGACAGG
rnacentral:rRNA from 1 species